CAGUAGCCGCGGGAAUACGGAGGGUGCAAGCGUUAAUCGGAAUUACUGGGCGUAAAGGGUGCGUAGGCGGUUGUUUAAGUCUGUUGUGAAAUCCCCGGGCUCAACCUGGGAACUGCAUUUGAGACUGUAUGGCUAGAGUGUGUCAGAGGGGGGUAGAAUUCCACGUGUAGCAGUGAAAUGCGUAGAUAUGUGGAGGAAUACCGAUGGCGAAGGCAGCCCCCUGGGAUAACACUGACGCUCAUGCACGAAAGCGUGGGGAGCAAACAGGAUUAGAUACCCGAGUAGUCCCUGUCUCUUAUAC
rnacentral:rRNA from 1 species